rnacentral:lncRNA from 1 species
UGGAAUUUAAAAAAACAAAAAGAUAAGAGGGUCAUAUGGAAAAUGUGGUUAGAAAUCAUAAUAGAGUCCGUGCACAACGACAAUACAAGGAUUAUCAUAUGAGAUUACAUGAUGACUAAAAUCAAAGAAAAAGUAGUGUAUAGUCUUAUAAAUGUACAUAAAUAGCAUUAAAAGAGAGCAUAAUGACGAAAAAACUAGUAGCUUAUGACCACAAACAGUGGGAUAUGGGAUGCCGAAAGCCAAACCAUCCUACGGCAAGAUAAUACUUGGUAUGUGGACGAAACUGAACUCGACUAGACUAGGAAAGUGAAAUCCUGUUCAAUCUAACGUACUGUACACGACAUUGUUAUCAGUUGGACUCGGGAUUCGGACCGCUAGGGACUUCAUGGGCAGCUGCCUCAAAAUCUUGAUUUGUGGUUUCUCUUGGAUGAAACUUCAUGGUGAAUUGCUUGCUUGGAGCAGAAUUCAGCAAGAUUCGGUCAAUUGAUGCUGAUGAACCCUCUAAUGUCACUGAAAAAUCAAGACGGCGAGCUGAGAUCGUAGAAAUCAAGAUUAGAAGAAGAAAAAAGGACGUUUUUACAAGCAUUUGCAAGAGUUUUUGAGCAUUUUUGCUUGUUUUUGCCAUGAAAAUGUAACUGAGAUAAUCCAACCCCCACUACCCUCAGAAUUGAAAUCAAUAUCCAUGAACAAACUGGAUUUCUCCAAGUUUGAUGCAAUGGAAUAACAAGAGGAAAAUUGGAGAUACAAUAAAAUUUAUAAUAGGCUUCGUUAGCAAGAGAUAUAUAUCAUGUGACUACGAAAACUUACCAUGUUGUCCAUCUCUCGUUUUUUAUUUCCAAGAAUACCCUUGAUAUGGGAAGAAAUCAAGAUAUUUAAAGAAGUUUUUUAAUUGAAUAUUUUUACAUAUUUAGAUAUUUUUUCAGAUGCAUUGCCGAUACUAAGGACAAACAAAAAUUUAUAUCUAUUCUUCUAGAUAUUGUGCAAAGAUCAAC